rnacentral:rRNA from 1 species
UACAGAGGUCUCAAGCGUUGUUCGGAUUCAUUGGGCGUAAAGGGUGCGUGGGUGUCGGGGUCUGUCAGGUGUGAAAUCUCGGGGCUCAACCCCGAAACUGCACUUGAUACUGCCUUGCUCGAGUACUGGAGAGGAGAUUGGAAUUUACGGUGUAGCAGUGAAAUGCGUAGAUAUCGUAAGGAAGACCAGUGGCGAAGGCGAAUCUCUGGACAGUUACUGACACUGAGGCACGAAGGCCAGGGGAGCAAACGGG